rnacentral:rRNA from 1 species
AGUGAACGCUGGCGGUAGGCCUAACACAUGCAAGUCGAACGGCAGCACAGUAAGAGCUUGCUCUUACGGGUGGCGAGUGGCGGACGGGUGAGGAAUACAUCGGAAUCUACUUUUUCGUGGGGGAUAACGUAGGGAAACUUACGCUAAUACCGCAUACGACCUACGGGUGAAAGCAGGGGAUCUUCGGACCUUGCGCGAUUGAAUGAGCCGAUGUCGGAUUAGCUAGUUGGCGGGGUAAAGGCCCACCAAGGCGACGAUCCGUAGCUGGUCUGAGAGGAUGAUCAGCCACACUGGAACUGAGACACGGUCCAGACUCCUACGGGAGGCAGCAGUGGGGAAUAUUGGACAAUGGGCGCAAGCCUGAUCCAGCCAUACCGCGUGGGUGAAGAAGGCCUUCGGGUUGUGAAGCCCUUUUGUUGGGAAAGAAAAGCAGCAGGUUAAUACCCCGCUGUUCUGACGGUACCCAAAGAAUAAGCACCGGCUAACGUCGUG